CCAGCCUGCGAGGUUCAGUGGUUGAGCUUUGACCUCUGCACCUGGAGGUCAUGAUUCCAUUCCCAGUUAGGGCACAUGCCCGGGUUGAGGCCUCAAUCCCUGGUGUGGGGCA